rnacentral:rRNA from 1 species
AUACGGAGGGGGCGAGCGUUAAUCGGAAUUACUGGGCGUAAAGCGCGCGUAGGCGGCUAUAUAAGUCAGAUGUGAAAUCCCUGGGCUCAACCUAGGAACUGCAUUUGAAACUGUAUGGCUAGAGUAUGGUAGAGGUGAGUGGAAUUUCAGGUGUAGCGGUGAAGUGCGUAGAGAUCUGAAGGAACAUCAGUGGCGAAGGCGACUCACUGGGCCAUUACUGACGCUGAGGUGCGAAAGCGUGGGUAGCAAACAGGAUUAGAUACCCUAGUAGUCC